rnacentral:pre_miRNA from 1 species
UUUUUCUGUAAUUUCGCACCGGUGCGAAUUUACAUUCAUAAAAUAACUUUUAUGUGAGUAAAUUCGCACCCUGGGUGCGAAAUUACAGUGA